rnacentral:lncRNA from 1 species
AGUAAUGCUCCUGGUUGUUGUCUAGCUCUCAGCAAGGACCAGGUGCUUGCUGCAGAUUGACAACAAGCUGCUUCUUGGAGAAGGAGUGCUCUGGAAAUCUGCAGAUGAAAGGAAAAAGAAAAUGCCGGCAGAGACGGCGGCAGAGGCAGCGGCAGAAGCGGCAGCGCGAGCGGGAACAGCAACUGCUUCAGCAGCGCCAGCAGCAGCAGCAGCAGCAGCAGCAGCAGCAGCAACAGCAACAGCAGCAACUGCUGCAACUGCAGCUGCAGCAGCAGUGCCAGCAGCAGCAGCAGCAGCAGCAGCAGUGCCAGCAGCAGCAGUGCCAGCAGCAGCAGCAGUGCCAGCAGCAGCAGCAGUUCCAGCAGGAGCAGCAACAACAGCAGCAGCAACAGCAGCAGCAGCAGCAGCAGCAGCAGCAGCAGCAGUGCCAGCAGCAGCAGCAGCAGCAGCAGAGGAGAAGGAGAAAAAACAGGAGGAGCAGGAGGAGCGGGAAGAGCAGGAAGAGCAAGAGGACCAGGAGGACCAGGAACACCAGGAGGAGGAGGAGAAGAAAUAAUGAGUGAUUGUGUCUCCGUUUAUGGAAAGAGUUUGAUGGGCAUCUUUGAAGAAAUGUGUACUCAAAGAAUUACUCAUGUAGAAUCUCACUGUGCUGCCAUCUGGGACAUCAAGUUCAUUUGUGAACCCAUGCUUCCUCUCAGCAUCAUAAGAAGAUCACUACAGAAGCUGAUCACCACACUUAGCUAGUGGUAUUGUAAAAUCUCUUCAUUAAUGACUUUCAUUUUUGCUUGCUUGUGUAUAAAAUUGAAUUGAAAGUUUAUAUUAUCUCAUUUGCUAACAGGUUUGCUUAAAACCCUCUUAGAAAUAACAUUUUUAUUACUUGUCAUGUUUUUUUUUAUUUACAGCAAGAUAUUUAAACACUGAAUAUAUUUUGUAGUAUUUAAUUUUUCAUUAUUUAAAACAAUGUUUAAAUCAAAUAUUCAAUUAUAUUAUGCCAUUCCUCCAAGUUCUUCAUAUUGUCUCCCAUUUUCUACCCAACUUUAAGUUCUUUGUCAAUAAAGAUACAAAAAUCCAAUUGAAAACAAACCCCUCAAAAUCAGGAAAACACAUUCAAAACAAACAAUCAGAAAACCCCAAACAAACAAUAAAGAAAACAACAAAAAUAAAAACAAAAACAAAAAAAACACCAAACAGUAACAAUGUAACAGAACAUUCAUAAACUCAGAAAACUUGAUUUGAAUUAUUUUUGAUCAACUACUGCUGAUCUUGAGGCCCAUCCUAGUUGAUGUACUAGUUUCACUCUUUCUGGAAAACUAAUUUUAUCUUUCUCAGUGGUUAUAUGUGAAAGUACAGUUGUUGACAUUUAUUCUGUUGCCUACACUUUCACUUUUUUAUUAUAUAUAUAAAUAUAUAUAUAUAUAAUAUAUACUUAUUCAUCCAUUCAUUCACUCCCUUUUAAUAUGUAAGAAAAUUAAAUAUAACAAAAUAAAGCAGAAACUAUCUAUAAUAGUAAUAUACUAAUCAAGAAUGACAUGUUUGCAACAAGGUCUACAAGUAGCUUCUGGGAACAUGCCUGCAGUUAGUUCUGAUUGGUAAAUGAAGAUGCCAGCAGCUAAUAGUUGGGGAGGAGAGACAGCUUCAGGAUUUAAGAUUCCCAGGUUUACAACCAUAAGGAAGCAGAAAGACAGAGAGACGCAAUGACUGAGAGGUGUGCUGAAGAGAAAAGCAGAGCCACUAUGUAAAGGAUUCAGGAGAACAUGGCCUGGAGAGCUGCUUAAAGUCAAGGGCAGCCAAAACAGAGUGAAAAAUAUAGUAAAUAGUAACCCAGAAUUAUCUGUGAAAGCAAGAGAAUAACAGCAUAGGGAUUACACAGUUGCUCAGUUACUGUGCUACUUAAAUCAUAUUAAAUAUAAAGGCUGUAUGCUUUUCAUUCAUAAACAUAAACUAUUGAAGCUGAUAGUCAUCAAUAUGAUAUUUAUUUAAAAAUAAAUACUACAACUAUGAAAUUGGCAUUGGGCAAGGAAAAUCAACAGAAGAUGUGAGCCUAAGACAAGGCACAAUAAUACAAGGCUUAAUUUGUAUACUCAGUCAUACGAUAAAAUCCCUUAAUUGGAAGUCAUAGUAUUUGUGAGAAGAGCCUAGUAUAUUACCAAAGACCCUGGAAUGUUCCACUGUAAGUUCUAUAUUGGCACUGAAUUGACGUCUCCACUUUAAUAAAAUUUCUAGGAAUGGUCAUCAACAAUGGGGCUUGCUAUAACUGUAGCAAGGCCCUAUAGGAGAGGACCCUAUAGUUUUGGCUACAAUUUGGGUUUUUUGAAAUUUCUGUUUUUAUUAUGACAGUCCUUUUGGCCCAGGACUCAAUUAAAUGUAAACCAAUUCCAGUGUUGGAACCUUUGUUUGGUGACAAGUGAUGGCCUGUGGAGAUCAAUUAUUUGGUAAUUUCAUUUAGAUCACACACACACACACACACACACACACACACACACACACACACACACACAUUCUAUCUAGUGCCCCCUUAUUUUAAGCUAUUUCUACUGUAUUCCUUUCCACAAUUCACUCUCCUCACCUUAGCUGUUUCUCCCUGUUUUCUCUUCCACAACCUCCUCUCUUCCUCCAUAUCAUACACCAAUUGAUUCCAGCCCAAUUCCCAAUCUGUUCAUUUUGUCUAGUCCCUUACUUAUGUCAGUAUAGGCUUUACAAAACUUGUACAUUAUCUGAUAUUUUUUUUAAAAAAGAACAAAUACUAUUUUACCUAAUGACUGCCUUGAACAGAACAUCUGGGACAAUGUCAGAUGGAGGUGGCAUCAAUGUGUAACAGAUGAUAUUUAUAAUUCCAGAUAUACUGAUGUAUUUAUUAUCUAUCAUCUAUCUAUCUAUCUAUCUAUCUAUCUAUCUAUCUAUCUAUCUAUCUAUCAAUCUAUCUACCUAGCCUCUACCUAAAUAUUAGUUUCCAUAUAUGUUUAGGGAAUUUCAGUUUUGUAACUAUUAUUUGAGUUAUUUUUUUCAAAAUCAAGAAAGUGGCUAGGGAUUUUCAAAGACUUUUAUUUUAUUUUACUGAACAUGAAAUGAUCGUGUAAUUCUUUGUCAUUACCUGUAUUAAUGUAGUACUUAACAUGAGCUCUUUAUAUAUGUUAAGCUAGUCCUACAUAUUUAGGUCACAUUUACAAUAUUAUAGUAUAAAAGCUUCUCUAUCUGUUGUAUGGUUUGUAUUGUAUUUGUUACUAUAUAUCUUCAUUUUGUAUUAUUAUUUGAUGUUUUUCAUGGAAUAUAUUUUAAUUAUUAUCUUUCAACUUUUCCAACUACUCCCGGAUCUUCAUGUCUCCCUACCAAUAAAAUUUCAUCCACACUUGGUUGUGUAAAAGGUAA